rnacentral:rRNA from 1 species
GACAGAGGGUGCAAGCGUUGUUCGGAAUUACUGGGCGUAAAGAGCUCGUAGGCGGUUUGUCGCGUCGAAUGUGAAAUCCCGGGGCUCAACCCCGGGCCUGCAUUCGAUACGGGCAGACUAGAGUUCGGUAGGGGAGUCUGGAAUUCCUGGUGUAGCGGUGAAAUGCGCAGAUAUCAGGAGGAACACCGGUGGCGAAGGCGGGACUCUGGGCCGUAACUGACGCUGAGGAGCGAAAGCGUGGGGAGCGAACAGG